rnacentral:rRNA from 1 species
UGGGGAAUUUUGCGCAAUAGGGGAAACCCUGACGCAGCAACGCCGCGUGAGUGAUGAAGGCCUUCGGGUCGUAAAGCUCUGUCAGAGGGGAAGAAGUGUGCGGGUGCUAAUAUCAUACGCACUUGACGGUACCCUCAAAGGAAGCACCGGCUAACUCCGUGCCAGCAGCCGCGGUAAUACGGAGGGUGCGAGCGUUGUUCGGAAUUAUUGGGCGUAAAGCGCGUGUAGGCGGUCUGGUUAGUCUGAUGUGAAAGCCCUGGGCUCAACCUGGGAAGUGCAUUGGAAACUGUCAGACUUGAAUACGGGAGAGGGUAGUGGAAUUCCUAGUGUAGGAGUGAAAUCCGUAGAUAUUAGGAGGAACACCGGUAGCGAAGGCGGCUACCUGGACCGAUAUUGACGCUGAGACGCGAAAGCGUGGGGAGCAAACAG